GACUCUCAAUCAAUUUUAGUCAAGGUGGCUCGAGUACGAAUCCCAAUUAGGUCAGAAAUUUUACAUUAUAUAAAAUAAUUUAAAUAAAGCAUUUAUAGUAGUUAGGUUGUGAAACACGUUAGGUUCUCAGCAUGCGUGCAAAGGAUGCGUGGAUUAUGCAUAGAAAGCGGGAUCAGAGAAUGUGCAUGUACACUAAAAGGUGCAGGUGCAAGUGGAUGCUGCGGAGGGUAGAGUGUGCAGGUGCAAGUGGAUGCUGCGGAGGGUAGAGUGUGCAGGGGCAAGUGGAUGCUAGUGCAAGUGGAUGCUGCGGAGGGUAGAGUGUGCAAGGGGGUCCUACGGAGGGCAGGUUGUGCAGGUGUUUUAUUUUCAAGUUAUUCAUUUGCACGAACAGAGUUGCUCAUUGCACAAUAUCACGAUUCUACUUCUACAUAAAGUUUACACAUUUUAAUUUAACUGUGUAGUUUUCCGAACUACAAAAUUAACUCACCUUCAAUUUUUUUUUCUAAUUAUUCAUACCUUAAUAAUUUUAGCGGCUCUCCAAAAGCAGCUAUUAUUUUUCUGUAUUAUUUCUGUCGCAAUGACAAAGUUGCACAAUUCCUGAUGCUGUUUCAUACGAUAAGAAAUUUUUUUUAUCAAACUAAUUUUCUUUUUACUCAUGGCUCAUUGUGUAUGUGAAUGACAUUCACUCUUGUGAAUAUGAUGUUACCUUGUGUUUUAUCUCUUAUGAAAAUCUUACAUACUUAUUAUAUUCACCCCACUGCCUGAAUUGAGCUUAACUGACAGGAGCAACGUGUCCUAUGAAACAAUAGAAACUAUCCUCGGCAACUCUUUUUUCUGUCGUUGGCUUCAUUGCAACAAACUGCAAAAUGAUUGACCUCACAAGCUGCGAGUUUUAACGGGAGACGGACAUCUGGGGGAUAUGAAAGUUCUGCAUCCUGCAGACAUGGCCUUCCCAACUCACCUGAGACUGCAUUAGAAUUGUGUGAAUGCUUUGACCUGUUAUUUGCUGACAAGUGUGCACAAAAUGGAUCCGAAAUGGAUCUGCAUAGCAUUUCCUAUAAAUUUUCAAUGGCAUGUUCAGACUUCAGCCUCACUAUAAACACAAAAAAAGACUGAAGUCUUAUACUUGCCAGCUCCAUGCAAAGCUUAAUUUGAUGCUAACAUCAAGAUAAAUGGAUAGGAUAUAAAUGCAGUGGACAGAUUCACCUUCCUUGGCAGCACACUUUUACAAAAUCUUUCAGGCAAGUUUUAUCAAAAUGAUGAGAUGGAAAAAAAAUUAAAUGAUGGUGAACACAAAAUAGAGGAUCACUAAUUGAUGGUGAGACUGUGUAUGUUAAAAACAUGCACAUCAAAAUGACUAUUGAAAUAGAAUUGUCAAACAAAUUUGGAAGCUUCAUAGUCUGAGUAAAAUUUAAAAAAAAAAGAAAAAGGUCUUCAAAGCAGCUAGACAGGCCUACAUAUUUCAUCCUGAGAACAAUUCAAGAUGACCUGUCUCUAGAAGAGGAGAUAAACAAACGCAUAGGGAAGGCUGCCUUGA
rnacentral:sRNA from 1 species